GAUGAACGCUGGCGGCGUGCCUAAUACAUGCAAGUCGAACGAAACUUCUUUAUCACCGAGUGCUUGCACUCACCGAUAAAGAGUUGAGUGGCGAACGGGUGAGUAACACGUGGGCAACCUGCCCAAAAGAGGGGGAUAACACUUGAAACAGGUGCUAAUACCGCAUAACCAUAGUUACCGCAUGGUAACUAUGUAAAAGGUGGCUAUACUACCGCUUUUGGAUGGGCCCGCGGCGCAUUAGCUAGUUGGUAGGGUAAAGGCUUACCAAGGCAAUGAUGCGUAGCCGAAUUGAGAGGUUGAUCGGCCACAUUGGGACUGAGACACGGCCCAAACUCCUACGGGAGGCAGCAGUAGGGAAUCUUCCACAAAGGGCGAAAGCCUGAUGGAGCAACGCCGCGUGGGUGAAGAAGGUCUUCGGAUCGUAAAACCCUGUUGUUAGAGAAGAAAGUGCGUGAGAGUAACUGUUCACGUUUCGACGGUAUCUAACCAGAAAGCCACGGCUAACUACGUG
rnacentral:rRNA from 1 species